rnacentral:lncRNA from 1 species
AACUAGAAUCCACUAAUCAACAGGAGACUGCAAAUAGUCCGAGACCAUGCCAAUGUAAAGAAAAAAAUAGCAAGAAGUAUAUUAUGUGCAGGAGAUUUUAAGGUUUAUAUGAUUGCAGAAUGGUAACUUAAACUAGAAAGCAUAAUUUCGAAAGCUUACCAACAAGCUUCCUCUGGGACAUUUCAUGAUUAACAGUUUCAUAGUACUGCAAUCUAUCACGUAGCCGGAGGAUCUCCAGGUCUUUCAAUUCAAUGAUCGCCGAAGCAGUUUCUUCAGCCUCAGCGCGUGCUAGACCCCUUCCAACUGCUUCAGCAACAAAUUUAGCAGCAACAACUUCCUGGGACAUUUUAUCCACUUCCUGAUCCUCGAGCUGCAUGCCAUCACUAAUAGCAGGAGGAGCAGGAAAAGUAAGUCCAGCUUCAGACAUAAGGAUCCUAAUUUUCUCCCACUGACUGUGCAUCAAAAGAAAAGUUUCCUCUGCAAUCUUUCUCUUUUCAAUUUCCUCAAGAAGAUUGAGCCUUGACGCAUGCAAUUCUGAUUCAAGUCUAUGAUCACAUGAUGGCGUGUUUGAAAUGGACCCAUCAGAGGAGAACUCUGCAAACAAAGUCAAGUCAUCAAUCUUAAUUUCAC